rnacentral:misc_RNA from 1 species
UUGUUCCAUGUGUCAUCAUG